CUACUCUUGACAUCCAGAGAACUUUCCAGAGAUGGAUUGGUGCCUUCGGGAACUCUGAGACAGGUGCUGCAUGGCUGUCGUCAGCUCGUGUUGUGAAAUGUUGGGUUAAGUCCCGCAACGAGCGCAACCCUUAUCCUUUGUUGCCAGCGGUCCGGCCGGGAACUCAAAGGAGACUGCCAGUGAUAAACUGGAGGAAGGUGGGGAUGACGUCAAGUCAUCAUGGCCCUUACGAGUAGGGCUACACACGUGCUACAAUGGCGCAUACAAAGAGAAGCGACCUCGCGAGAGCAAGCGGACCUCAUAAAGUGCGUCGUAGUCCGGAUUGGAGUCUGCAACUCGACUCCCC
rnacentral:rRNA from 1 species